CUUUCGUUUAGGGCUUCUUUAGCAGUCUCUUUGUUUCAUCUUCUUCGGUAUUGAUCUGAUUUGCUUUCUGCUACAGAUUAUAAAAAAUGGCAUGGCGCAGUGCUGCUCGCUCUUUCGUCUCCGCAACUGCUAGAGCUCCGUCUCUCCGAUCUCCGCCGGCAACGCUUCCUCGCCUCCGUCCUUCCCAAUCCUCUUUACCCCGCCGCCGAUUCGCCUCUUUCACUAAUCUCAGGAAUUUGGGAGAGCUUGGAUGCACAGAGUCUUUCUUGCCUCUGUACAAUGUAGUGUCUGCAGCUCGACUCACAUCUCACCUUAAUGUCAAUCUCCGAGCUUUCUGCGAGCUCUCUAACGGUACCUUCCCACGCACUUGUCAAGAUCGCUAAUUACUCUUCAUUUGGAAUGGAAAAGAUGGGUGAUGGAAGUGGAUUUUCAGUCGCUGUCAAGAGAGGUGCUACUGCUUUUGUACUUAGAAUGCGCAAAGUGGAUGCAUCAGUAAUCUUGAAGCGGAUACUUGGAAAAAGGGGGUGUACCAAGAAGAACUCAUUGGUUGUUUUGUCCUUCAUUAGGAACCAAAAACGACUUACAUUUAUUUGAUUUUUCUUCACAUUUGACAAUUUCCAGUUUUAGAAUGUCUGGUUUUCUCUUCAUAUUUCCAGUUAGAUUCAGCUUUUCUUUCAGCAUAUUCCUGAAAGACCAUUGUUUCAUCUUGUAAUUUAUAAUGUUACUUAAAUCUCUUCAAGUACUAUUUUCUGAAAGGAAUUAAAAGAAAACUUUCUUUUA